rnacentral:rRNA from 1 species
CCUACGGGGGGCUGCAGUGGGGAAUUUUGGACAAUGGGCGAAAGCCUGAUCCAGCCAUGCCGCGUGCGGGAAGAAGGCCUUCGGGUUGUAAACCGCUUUUGUCAGGGAAGAAAUCUUUCGAGCUAAUACCUUGAGAGGAUGACGGUACCUGAAGAAUAAGCACCGGCUAACUACGUGCCAGCAGCCGCGGUAAUACGUAGGGUGCAAGCGUUAAUCGGAAUUACUGGGCGUAAAGCGUGCGCAGGCGGUUGUGCAAGACAGGUGUGAAAUCCCCGGGCUUAACCUGGGAACUGCACUUGUGACUGCAUAGCUGGAGUACGGCAGAGGGGGAUGGAAUUCCGCGUGUAGCAGUGAAAUGCGUAGAUAUGCGGAGGAACACCGAUGGCGAAGGCAGUCCCCUGGGCCUGUACUGACGCUCAUGCACGAAAGCGUGGGGAGCA